AAACCAACAGGGAUUGCCUUAGUAGCGGCGAGUGAAGCGGCAAAAGCUCAAAUUUGAAAUCUGGCACCUUCGGUGUCCGAGUUGUAAUUUGAAGAUUGUAACCUUGGGGUUGGCUCUUGUCUAUGUUUCUUGGAACAGGACGUCACAGAGGGUGAGAAUCCCGUGCGAUGAGAUGCCCAAUCCUAUGUAAGGUGCUUUCGAAGAGUCGAGUUGUUUGGGAAUGCAGCUCUAAGUGGGUGGUAAAUUCCAUCUAAAGCUAAAUAUUGGCGAGAGACCGAUAGCGAACAAGUACAGUGAUGGAAAGAUGAAAAGAACUUUGAAAAGAGAGUGAAAAAGUACGUGAAAUUGUUGAAAGGGAAGGGUUUGAGAUCAGACUCGAUAUUUUGUGAGCCUUGCCUUCGUGGCGGGGUGACCCGCAGCUUAUCGGGCCAGCAUCGGUUUGGGCGGUAGGAUAAUGGCGUAGGAAUGUGACUUUGCUUCGGUGAAGUGUUAUACCCUGCGUUGAAGCGGCCU
rnacentral:rRNA from 1 species